rnacentral:rRNA from 1 species
CCCUUAGAUGUUCUGGGCCGCACACGCGCUACACUGAAGGAGGCAGCGUGUACUCCUGGAUCGAAAGAUUUGGGUAACCCGCGAAUCUCCUUCGUGCUAGGGAUUGUGGUUUGCAAUUAUCCUUCAUGAACGAGGAAUUCCCAGUAAGUGCAAGUCAUAAGCUUGCGCUGACUACGUCCCUGCCCUUUGUACACACCGCCCGUCGCUACUACCGAUUGAAUGAUUUAGUGAGGACUUCGGACUGGGACCGAUGCGGCUUUCGGGCUGCGUCGGUAUUCUGGAAAGAUGUCCAAACUGUAUCAUUUAGAGGAAGUAAAAGUCGUANCA